rnacentral:misc_RNA from 1 species
CAUGUUGAAUGUUGGUGGAAAUAGCAAUUAAGAACCUAUUCAAGCUGGUGGAAUUAACCCCAGUAGAGCUAGCAUUGAUCCCAUUCUUGUCAAUCCUAGAAGAAGAGUUAUGACGAAAGAUGAUGAGGAAAUGGAUUUCGGGUAUGUUGCAUGCCAAGGAUAAUAAAGAGGUGGUUGAAAUUUCCAACAACUCUAUAGGAGUGACGAUGAGUUCAAAUUGAAUAUAAAUAUCUCUACCUUUAGUGGAGAUCUUUUU